AGCAGACCCAUGGUGUUACAUUCUGUGGCCAUACUGUCCUUUAUAAAUUUCUUUGAUCCUGCUCCCAUUCCAGGCAGAGCUUCAGCCUGACCUGAUGCUUUCGAUGAUGCACCUGUGGGCCUCAUUAACUUCCACAAGCAGUGAUAUGGAAAAAAUUUCAUUACUGUGUUCUUGUGUUAUUGUUGUCACACUAGCUAGUUUUAACCAUAAAACACAUCUUUUUACUACUUUUAGAUGUUUUGUGUUUGGAGUGAGAAAAUAAUGACUGUUUCAUCUGUCAGUCAGGCGGAAAUUGUUGCCGUCUCUAUUGUCCUGCUGGUAUUUAAUCUCAGGCCUAAAAUAAGGCAGCUUGUUCUAUAAGGACUGGAUAUAGGCUGGCAGUAUACUAGAAAGACUGGGUUGAUACCCUAGGGAUAGACGGUUCUGAACACCAGAGCAACUCCUACUGUGUGUUUCUUGCACCUUGGAAGCUUACCUUUGUUCUGCCUGUUCCAAAGAAUCUCCUUGACCCAAGGUGACAAAAGCAGCACUUCUGUUAUAAGAGGUGUUCAUGAAAAAGUGGUGUUGGUAGGUAAUUAUGCCUGAUGUGUCCACAUCUUGACUGUCCUAUCAUGAACCUUGAUUACAGUAAAUUGAGUGGGUCCUCUGUCACUUGUUGUUAUUAUAAAGAUUGGUCUCACAGAAACUGGACUGUUGCUUAGUCACCAUGCCUUUCAUAUACAGAAAGCGGGAGAAUUAGGUCAGUUUGUUCUUCCUCCUUUGGCAGUGUGUAUUUAGCAGGCUGAUAUUAUUCCUUCCCCCUUCAAGUCCAAGUCUAUAAUUGGAGGAAUGUUCUAGUUUUCUGUGCUGAACAUUUAAUCAAUUCACACACAAAUUUGGCCAGAUAUUUGCUGAAAUGUUAUUUCUCUCUCUUGUAGAUGGAUGAAGAGGAGCAGCCACAGAUUUCAGUGCAAGAUUUCAGAUCUUUUUCUACCUCUGAGGAACUGCACAGUGAGACAGUGUCACAUACACACAGUGAGACUGCAUCCUCUGGAUAUGCAUCCAUGCAUGGAAAUGAGCACCUCGGCCCUGCUGAAGGCUCACAAAAUGGUGUGCAAGAGGAGCAGUUGGAUGUGUCGCCCCACUAUGAUAAUCUUGCCUUCGAGAGUGACGUUCACAGCCAGAGUGAAGUCAGGACCUGAGCAGCACAAGCAAACACUGAUACAAUGCACUCAUACAGAUGAAUGAAGGGUUUUUGAUUUGAGGACUUUAACAAAGAACCACUGAGCCCUUUACUGAUUAGUUUCUGA
ensembl:lncRNA